rnacentral:lncRNA from 1 species
UUUGAUGAUGUUGGAUUGAGGUUGAUUCUAGAUUAAGUGUGAGUGGGGAGGACAAGGAAGCCUUACUUGAUUCAGAUGGAGUUUGGAGGAUUGGGGGCUGAGUUUGUGUGUCGAGAGUGGUGAUUAGAUUAGGUUGAUCUUGGAAGAGGCCCAUUGUUCCAGAUAUUCUAUCCAUCUAGGUGUGACUAAGAUAUAUCAUGAUUUGAGACAACACUACUGUGGGGUGGUAUGAGACGAUAUAUAGUGGAUUUUAUAGCUCGGUAGCUUUAUUUCCAAUCG